rnacentral:rRNA from 1 species
GAUGAACGCUGGCGGCGUGCCUAAUACCUGCAAGUCGAGCGAAGCGGGGACGGGUGAGUAACACGUGGAUAACCUACUAUAAGACUGGGAUCACUUCGGGAAACCGGAGCUAAACCGGAUGAUUAUCGAUGGAUCAUCGCGGCAUUAGCUAGUUGGUAAGGUAACGGCUUACCAAGGCAACGAUGCAUAGCCGACCUGAGAGCGUGUUCGGCCACACGGGAACUGAGACACGGUCCAGACUCCUACGGGAGGCAGCAGUAGGGAAUCUUCCGCAAUGGGCGAAAGCCUGACGGAGCAACGCCUCGUGAGUUAUGAAGGUCUUCGGAUCGUAAACCUCUGUUAUUAGGGAAGCGGUACCUAAUCAGAAAGCCACGGCUAACUACGUGCCAGCAGCCGCGGUAAUAC